GGUCUUUCAAAACCCGUUGAAGGAGCGACUUCCAGCCUCCCAGUUUUUUUAUUGGCGCAAAGGGAAGGUGUUUGGCUAUAAUUGGAGAGCUUUGAUCGACAGAAUCUUUCAAGAUUAUCAGAGAAAGGUUCUGAUGCGCGUAGAUGAAAUUGUGCAGAAUUAUCUGCUCGUGCUGCUGUGGCUGCAACAACUAAGGAGAGAACUACUGUACCAACCCACCAUUCAUCUGAUUCGGAAACCAGAG